GACAGAGGGUGCAAACGUUGCUCGGAAUCACUGGGCGUAAAGGGCGUGUAGGCGGACUUGCAAGUCAGGCGUGAAAUCCCUGGGCUCAACCCAGGAAUUGCACUUGAAACUGCAAGCCUUGAGUGUCGGAGAGGAAAGUGGAAUUCCUGGUGUAGAGGUGAAAUUCGUAGAUAUCAGGAGGAACACCGGUGGCGAAGGCGGCUUCUGGACGACAACUGACGCUGAGACGCGAAAGCGUGGGGAGGCAAACAGGAUUGAAGAAACCCCAGUAGGUCCAAGAACCGAAGUACCUCUGCAC
rnacentral:rRNA from 1 species